GAAACGCGAUAGUUAAUGUGAAUUGCAGAAUUCAGUGAAUCAUCGAGUCUUUGAACGCACAUUGCGCCCAUAGGUAUUCCUUUGGGCAUGUCUGUUUGAGCGUCAUUACAACCCUCAGCUAACCGCUGGUUUUGAACCUGAACGGGUGACACCGCGCCGGUUUUAAAGUUGUAAGCUCUGCUGGCCGCUCUGCCCAACCAGAACAUAGUAAGCACUACUUGUCCGGGUGAAGCUGAACGGUACGGCCUGAACAAAACCUACCCACUCUCAAGGUUUGACCUCAGAUCAGACAAGGAUACCCGCUGAACUGAAG
rnacentral:misc_RNA from 1 species